UACGGAGGGUGCAAGCGUUAUCCGGAUUCACUGGGUUUAAAGGGUGCGUAGGCGGCCUUAUAAGUCAGUGCUGAAAUAUCCCGGCUUAACCGGGAGGGUGGCAUUGAUACUGUAGGGCUUGAGUGUAGUCGAGGUAGGCGGAAUUGACGGUGUAGCGGUGAAAUGCUUAGAUAUCGUCAAGAACACCGAUAGUGUAGACAGCUUACUAGGCUACAACUGACGCUGAGGCACGAAAGUGUGGGGAUCAAACAGG
rnacentral:rRNA from 1 species